rnacentral:lncRNA from 1 species
AUGGAGAAUGAGGCAACCACGAGCUUGUCCAGCCUCGCCGGAGAACCUGUCAGAGCCCUUGUUGGGAGGAGGCCAGGGGCAGCAAUUUCUUCGACGGAAGCUGCAGCGGCUCUAGGGAGAUGGAAGAGGAGGCAAAGCUGUCGUAUCCCUGUCGUUGGCGGUUGGUCCCCUCGCAUGGACGCAGCCGAAUCCAUUACGCCCGACUGCCCUCGCGACCGGCCCACAGUGCCGCCCGUCUUCGCCGGAGAGAGAGGUGCCGCCAAGCUCCGCCGCCAAGGAGAGCUGCUACUCGUAGGGGAGAGAGAGAGAACGCUCCGGCCUGCUCUUGCUCACCGAGGGAGAGAGGUUGAGGAUGGGGGCAUGUCAAGGAUAUGUGAACUGUGUAUGUCAAUGGCACCAUUACAACAACAAAGAAACAUUAGUGAUAUGAUUCUAAAUACAUGAAUUGUAAUGG